UGGAGUGGCGGCGGAGGGAGGC
rnacentral:misc_RNA from 1 species